GACGAACGCUGGCGGCGUGCCUAAUACAUGCAAGUCGAGCGAAUCAAUAGGAGCUUGCUCCUGUUGGUUAGCGGCGGACGGGUGAGUAACACGUGGGCAACCUGCCUGUAAGACUGGGAUAACACCGGGAAACCGGUGCUAAUACCGGAUAAUCCUUUUCCUCUCAUGAGGAAAAGCUGAAAGUCGGUUUCGGCCGACACUUACAGAUGGGCCCGCGGCGCAUUAGCUAGUUGGUGAGGUAACGGCUCACCAAGGCGACGAUGCGUAGCCGACCUGAGAGGGUGAUCGGCCACGCUGGGACUGAGACACGGCCCAGACUCCUACGGGAGGCAGCAGUAGGGAAUCUUCCACAAUGGACGAAAGUCUGAUGGAGCAACGCCGCGUGAGCGAUGAAGGCCUUCGGGUCGUAAAGCUCUGUUGUUAGGGAAGAACAAGUACCGGAGUAACUGCCGGUACCUUGACGGUACCUAACCAGAAAGCCACGGCUAACUACGUGCCAGCCGCCGCCGUAACAC
rnacentral:rRNA from 1 species